UGGGGAAUCUUGGACAAUGGGCGCAAGCCUGAUCCAGCCAUGCCGCGUGGAUGAUGAAGGCCCUAGGGUUGUAAAAUCCUUUCGUUGGGGACGAUAAUGACGGUACCCAAAGAAGAAGCUCCGGCUAACUUCGUGCCAGCAGCCGCGGUAAUACGAAGGGGGCUAGCGUUGUUCGGAUUUACUGGGCGUAAAGCGCGUGUAGGCGGACUUGUAAGUUGGGGGUGAAAUCCCGGAGCUCAACUCCGGAACUGCCUCCAAAACUACAAGUCUGGAGCAAGAUAGAGGCAAGUGGAAUUGCGAGUGUAGAGGUGAAAUUCGUAGAUAUUCGCAGGAACACCAGUGGCGAAGGCGACUUGCUGGAUCUUUGCUGACGCUGAGACGCGAAAGCGUGGGGAGCAAA
rnacentral:rRNA from 1 species